GGAAGUAAAAGUUGUAACAAGGUCUCCGUCGGUGAACCAGCGGAGGGAUCAUUACCGAGUUAUCAACUCCCAAACCCCUGUGAACAUACCCAACGUUGCUUCGGCGGGACCGCCCCGGCGCCCUCGGCGUCCCGGAACCAGGCGCCCGCCGGAGGACCCAAACUCUUGUUUAAACCAUAGUGGCAUAUUCUGAGUCUCACAAGAGAAAUGAAUCAAAACUUUCAACAACGGAUCUCUUGGCUCUG
rnacentral:misc_RNA from 1 species